UUCUGGCUGGCUCAGUCAGUAGAGCAUGGGACUCCUGAACUCAGGGUCAUGAGUUCAAGCCUCAUGUUGGAUA
rnacentral:tRNA from 1 species